UUUUAAUGUCCGCGUUGUACAGUGUUGACCUGUUUAAGAUGAUCAAAGGCUUUUUGCUUAUUUAUGGAUGGACUUCAGUUGGUGCAGAGGGCUCGGAUAAGUGUAUUUCUCAAUUCACAUGGCAUCAUCAUCAUUGUAUUUUGGUCUUAUCAAUAAGUGACUUUUGCAAAAAGCAUAUUCUUCACAGAGGUAAUUUCUUUUGUCUGUGUUGAAAGACUUAAUGAAUGAAUGAUAUGCUUCUAUUAUGAACAGUAAGCAACAUCUUUUCAGUGUAAAAAUCAGUUAACAGUAAUCGCUGUAUUACUUUGACUUAGAUGAAACCCCUAAAAUUAUAAAUAGUAGCAGGAACAUGUUUAAUAAUGACAGGUGUCAGAAGAACAGGAUUUAUAAAUAUUCAACAAGUUGAGAAAGAUCCUGUAGAUCAGUAAGAAUUUAAUACACAUGGUGGCCCACACUUGACGGCUCCGGAGGCUGAGGCAGGAGGGUUUCAAGUUCAAAGUCAGCCUCCUCAAUUUAGUGAGGCUGUAAGCAACUUAGUGAGAUCCUGUCUCUAAAUAAAAAAUAAAAACUGGGCUGGGGAUGUUGCUCAGUGGUGACCACUGCUGGGUUGAAUCCCUGGUAGAGAGAGAGAGAGAAAAAAAGAAUUUAAUACACAUAUGUCUUGCAUUUAAGAUUAACAAAAUAAUGUUUAAAAAUACUGUGCUUUUCUCUUUCAUCUUAUAAGCAAUAAAGUAUUUCUUUAGAGGGUCAGUUAGAUCAACAGAUGUAAUAUUAGCUCCUUAGCUUAAUCCUAGCAAUGUAUAAAUUCUAGCCUGUGAACCACAUACAAGAAUUGUCCCAUGGUCACAAUUGGAACUGAUUUUUACAAAUAUCAAGACUGAUUAAAUCAAAAUAAAUAAUCAUAUACACAUUAAUAUGUUAAAUUGUUCACUCAGCAAUGGUAAUUUAAAAACCAUUUCUAAAUUUAAUUGAAAAAGCUCUAUAAGAUAGGAGGAAAGACUAUCUCCUACAUUCAUUUCAUUGUAAUUGAUGAAUACCAAUAUUCAGAACAAAAGUUUAUUUGAAGGUAAGAUACUUGCUGACUAUUUGUUUACUAAGAAAAAAGGGGUGAAUUAUGCAUCUUUCCAAAGGAAAAAAUUUUUAAUUUAAUUUCUGUGAUUAUAAAAAGAAUUGAUACAUUUAUAAUUGCACUGUUUUGAUCCAUAUCCCUUUUUAAGUAAACGAAACAAUACCAAUUCAAAAAAUUUGUAUAGAAUUGAACUUGCUUCAUACAAAAUUUUCUAGCCUAAAAAUUAAGUGAAUUUCCUGCAUUUCUAGAUAUUCUUCUUCUUCUCUUUAUUUUCCUUACAAAACAUUUUAUUAAAUGGAAGAUUGAAAUUGUAAUUGUUUAUAGGAAUGUGGUUUUAAAAAAUAUUUUCAGUAAGAAUGACAAAAUCAGCCGGGUGUGGUGGCGCACACCUAUAAUCCCAGCGGCUCUGGAGGCCAAGGUAGGAGGAUUACAAAUUGAAAGCCAGCUUCAGC
rnacentral:lncRNA from 1 species